rnacentral:tRNA from 1 species
CAGAAAAUAGUUUAUAAAAAUAUUAACUUUGGAAGUUAAAGAAGAGUAGAAUACUUUUUUCUGA